rnacentral:rRNA from 1 species
GUAGUAGUUAAGUUCUUGAAACCUAAAGGAUUUGGCGGUAUUUUAGUCUUUUCAGAGGAACCUGUCCCUUAAUCGAUGACCCACGAUUUUAAUUACUUAUCUUUGUAUUCAGUUUGUAUAUCUCCGUCAUAAGGAUAUCUUUUUAGAGGUAAUUUCCUUAAUUAUUAAAUAUAAAUAUGUCAGGUCAAGGUGCAGCUUAUAGAUAAGAGGUGAUGGGUUACAAUAAUUUUAUUUAUAUGAAUAUAUAUACUUGUGGUGUAUUGAAGGUGAAUUUGAAAGUAAAUUUAUUUAUUAAUUAUUUUGACUUUAGCUCUAAAAUAUGCACACAUCGCCCG